GUCUAUGGCCACACUACCUUGAACAUGCCUGAUCUUGUCUGAUCUUGGAAGUUAAGCAGGGUCAGGCCUGUUUAGUACAUGGAUGGGAGAAAUAUAAUUUAAAGAGCAGAAGGCUCCAUAAUUU
rnacentral:rRNA from 1 species